CUGUAUUUGAACAAUUUCUAAAAGUCAUCUUUAAAAUUAAUCCCCUGAUAAUCAGACAAGUUUGGAUGUUUUGUUCUGUUUUUUUCCUAAUUGCAUUUGCAAAGCAUUUUAAGAAUUGGCUUAACAUUUUAUAUGCGCUGAUAUUAGAUCAAAAUGGAGGCAUUUAUGCCGCAUGCAUUGUAAAUCAAAUACUUCCUUAUUUGAUAUGAGUUUCCUUAACAAACUCAUAUAAAAGACAAAACAGUCAAAUAACUGAGCCUUAGUUAUGAAACACUGUAGUUGCAUGUUCUCAUAACAUAAACAUUUACAGUAACUGGGUUAUUCACAGAUGAAAAUCAAAUCCAUUUCAGUUCAGAUAAUCAUUCUGCAUUAGAAAAAUGAAUAAAUUAAAAGUAUGCUCCAGCAAUUUACUCUUCCCAAGCAGCUAUCCUGCACGCUCUGCAGAGGAUGUCAAAACCUGCUGAUAUCUAGCAGAGUCAACUCCCAAGUUUGUGUAUCCCGGUCCAUUCUACCUUUCCAUCAGGCAGUACAUGUGGAAAUGGAAAAAUAGCUCUCUAAUUAAUCAAAGUCAGAUCUGCCUGAACGCCUGGAGUUGCUGCUGAUCCUUGUCCCAGCUUCUACCAUGUUCUCUCUCUAUGUUUUUUACCUUGAAAACUUCUGCUCUGAGCUGGGAAUGCCUGAAGGGCUUGCACGAGCUGUGUCUGAAAACUAUGAGGACCUGAAAACUUGAAGGCAAGGUCUGCUGUAGAUUUUUAAAACUUUGUAUGAGUCACAGGAUUUUGAGCUUCUCCUUCACUGAAAUACCUUGUCACAAAGACAGGAUGGCCACCCUCUUUUUUCACUCUGCCUCCAGGCCCUCCUUGUGGCCUGUAACUGUGGUCUCUGGAGCAAUGUCUGAGCUGGAUGUGGAGAUUUACAUGGAAGGUACCUCUGAGUUGUGGGUCCUAUCUGAAAGAUUUCUGAAGCAGAUGUACACCUGGAACACUUUAAAAUCUCAGCUUCAUCUCUCC
rnacentral:lncRNA from 1 species